GGAGGGGUGGCAGAGCGGCUUAAUGCGGCGGUCUUGAAAACCGUUGACCCGUNAGGGUCCGGGGGUUCAAAUCCCUCCCCCUCCGCGA
rnacentral:tRNA from 1 species